rnacentral:rRNA from 1 species
UACGUAGGGCGCAAGCGUUAUCCGGAAUUAUUGGGCGUAAAGAGCUCGUAGGCGGUUUGUCGCGUCGGGAGUGAAAACUCAGGGCUUAACCCUGAGCCUGCUUCCGAUACGGGCAGACUAGAGGUAUGCAGGGGAGAACGGAAUUCCUGGUGUAGCGGUGAAAUGCGCAGAUAUCAGGAGGAACACCGGUGGCGAAGGCGGUUCUCUGGGCAUUACCUGACGCUGAGGAGCGAAAGUGUGGGGAGCGAACAGG